ACGAACGCUGGCGGCGUGCUUAACACAUGCAAGUCGAACGGAAAGGCCCUGCUUUUGUGGGGUGCUCGAGUGGCGAACGGGUGAGUAACACGUGAGUAACCUGCCCUUGACUUUGGGAUAACUUCAGGAAACUGGGGCUAAUACCGGAUAGGAGCUCCUGCUGCAUGGUGGGGGUUGGAAAGUUUCGGCGGUUGGGGAUGGACUCGCGGCUUAUCAGCUUGUUGGUGGGGUAGUGGCUUACCAAGGCUUUGACGGGUAGCCGGCCUGAGAGGGUGACCGGCCACAUUGGGACUGAGAUACGGCCCAGACGCCUACGGGAGGCAGCAGGGGGGAAUAUUGCACAAUGGGCGGAAGCCUGAUGCAGCAACGCCGCGUGCGGGAUGACGGCCUUCGGGUUGUAAACCGCUUUCGCCUGUGACGAAGCGUGAGUGACGGUAAUGGGUAAAGAAGCACCGGCUAACUACGUG
rnacentral:rRNA from 1 species